UCCAACCUCAUUGAAGAGAGAAGUUAAAAUUCCCCUUGAGAAGAGAAAGAUGGAAGGUGUGGCUAAUGAAGGAAAGAAAAAGGAGAAGGAAAAGACCAUGGAUCCAGUCAAGCUAAGGCAGAAGCUAGAGAAGCUUGACGCUAAAAUUGAUGCCCUGAAAGCUAAGAAGGAAGAGGUCGUAAGACAACUUUAUGAGCUAGAGCAAGGCGCUACCGGAGGAGCUCCCUCCCAAACCAAGCAAUGAAUACCAUGGAUAUCCAACUCCAUAGUGGUUGGAUGAAGGAAAUAGAAUAU